rnacentral:rRNA from 1 species
CCUACGGGAGGCAGCAGUGAGGAAUAUUGGUCAAUGGCCGGAAGGCUGAACCAGCCAUGCCGCGUGAAGGUCAGUGCCCUAUGGGCGUUAAACUUCUUUUGUGCGGGAGCAAUAAUGGUCACGUUUGGCCAGACGAGAGUACCGUACGAAUAAGCAUCGGCUAACUCCGUGCCAGCAGCCGCGGUAAUACGGGGGAUGCAAGCGUUAUCCGGGUUUAUUGGGUUUAAAGGGUGCGUAGGCUGUGAGGUAAGUCAGCGGGGAAAUGCCCCCGCUCAACGGGGUGAAGGGCCAUGGAUACUGGCUUGCUGGAAUGCGGAUGCGGUGGGAGGAAUGUGAGGUGUAGCGGUGAAAUGCGUAGAGAUUAGGAAGAACACCAGUGGCGAAGGCGAUUCUCUGGACUGUAACUGACGCUGAGGCUCGAAAGCGUGGGGAGCAAACAGGAUUAGAUACCCUAGUAGUC